rnacentral:tRNA from 1 species
GCCGGGGUGGCGGAAUCGGUAGACGCAGCGGACUCAAAAUCCGCCGCCGCAAGGCGUGAGGGUUCGACUCCCUCUCCCGGCACCA